CUACGCGUGGGUGAAGAAGAAGCACCCAAACAAAAAUUUAUGAAUGAAAGGUUCUGGUGUAGAUUUAUGGCCAAUAAGUGGGAUUUUAAAUAAGGGAUCAUGUUGGCGGCCCUGGGCCUAUAAAAAAAGUACAGAUGACGAUUUCUAAUAUGGCGGAUCGGAGCAGAAUUGAAAAAAAACUAUAUCAAAUUAACCUGAGCAUUAGGGUGGUUCCGGAUUUUAAGAUUUUUAAAAUUCAAGCGGACCUGUGACAAGUCCUUGGGCAAUCGAUUCCAUUUAAGUUUGGUUGGAAAUUCAUUUGGUGCCUGGGAUGGGGAUUAAAAAUGAAAUCUUCAAAAAAAAAGAAAUUGUAUACUAAUUCAUCACUCCUGCAUAAAAACACUGAGCCGAGAUGGAAAAAGUUCCAGACGACAAAAAAAUUGGUGAGUUUGAAAAUUCAAUUUAUAUAUAUUAAUAUUUAAAUUUAAGUUAUUGCGCUUAGUCUAACAUUAGCAUUACUAUUCCAAUAAAAAGUAGUUAAACCAAAUUAAAUAUUGCCAAUAACAUUUCAUGAUCUUUAAGAUCAUAAAUCUUUCAAAUAAAAAAAAUAUUUGGCCAGAAAUGGUUCGUAUUGUGAGAACAAAACACAGUGGUGUUAGAUUUAUCCAAUAACAAGUAAGCCACGUAUUUCUUCAAGAGAUGCUUGUUGGGUAAACGUUGCAAAUUACUCCCGUCUCUUUAAUAUUAUCAAAAUCAGAUCAACAUACUAGAUGUCUAACGAUUCUCAGCUCUUAUUGGCAUAGUUCCCCAGAGUGUUAACGGAAUUGCAUCAAUAGUGUGUUGACAGUCACAAUCGUGAUAAAAGAUUUAAUUGGUUUCGGUGAGCAUGGUGACGUACUACUUGUUACUGAGUAAAUCCAACGCAACUGGUAAUUGUUCCACAACACAAAUGAACAU